ensembl:lncRNA
AGACUCUCAAAGGAUGCUUUCAUUGGGAUGAGAAACUACACAUGAUUGAGUGCUCUUCUGUCCUGUCUUCUCUUGCUUUGCACAGUAUUUAACCUUCAGAUUUAGACUUUCUUAUGUUUUUCUUUUGAAGACCUUGUCUACAAUCAGAGUACAAAAAUGCACGAAGCAGAGUGGUGAAGGGACUGGUGAGACUGAUUGAUGCAGAAGUCUGGUUUUGAAGAGGGAAGGAGGGAGAGAGAUUCCUUUAAUUGUGCUUAAAAGAAGCAAACUUAAAAACAAGACAGGAAAGUUGAGUGGAAGCUGAGAGGUUGAAUGCAAACUCUGCCAAGAUUUGAAAAGUUACAAGUUAAUGCUGAGAUCUUUCUCAACUGAACUCCAGAAGAUGUCUGGUUAAGUUCUGCCUACUAUCCUCUGAACAAGCAAGCAAAACAAGCAGGAUUCUGAAAGAAGGGAACAUCUAUGAUGUAGGGAGAUAAAAAGUAGCUUACAGAAAUGGCAUCCAGAAACAGAGAUACUCCUGGAGACCUACAUUGCCCUGACACUUCAGACAUCUCACUGUUGCUUUAACCCACGUUGCUGUGAGCAAUUUGGAGGCACGGCCACUGAGAAGACUUUGCAGAGCAUCUUGUUGCCGCUUAUAUUUCUGGCACCAGCUCUUACAAACACUGCCAGCUGGAUUUUAUGACACGUCAUUGAGGGGCUGCCAGCAGUCAGGUCACAGUGCCAUAGACCUCCAGAUGGAAAAACUGCCUAUCUUCAGCUCUGCAGACAUGAAAAAGUGCAAGUGGGAAAUGCUCACCUAAUGUACAAAAGUAACGUCUAAUAGCUGGAGAAGGUCUGAAGAUCCUGUCAACUGCAGGUUAGAGAUGGUUAUCUCUGGGAGGACAUUCCUCAUCUUUUCCAUAUGUUCAAAAUAAACUGUCUUCUGUGAUUCCGAAGCUCCCUUGGCAGGAGAGGAGAAGUGUUGAAAUAUCGUAUUUCACAAUUUUCCAGACCAAAUGCUAACUUAUCUGAACGAUACAUUGCUGUAUGAUUCAGUAAAUAAGCUCCCCAGUCCUCUGGAAGUAGAUAAUAACUUUAAGUUUUCAUUGCUUUAUAGUCAAAGAGGUAUCUCUCAGUUAUCAUAAACGUUGAGCAAACAGUGAUAUGGAGCCAAGGAUCUUUUUUUUUGCUUGUAGAGAAUAUUUUCAUUUCUGUGCCUCGUUGAAGGCAGCCAAUUAUUCCCCUCUCAUCUGUAUAGUGAUCGACAACUAACUGAAACAUUUUGAUGUUAUAGUGGAUGAGACAUCACCGACUACAAGAAAAAGCUGUUCUUUUAAACAAAGCUUUAACUUCUAUGUUGUUUGAAAAAAUAAAGCAGUAAGAAUGGCAGCGCUUGAUACUGGUACUGUGCAGAAGCUUUUGUCCUACCAUGUUACGUGUGAUUGUAAUUCUGAGUAAUUCUUGGGGGAUCACGU